UGGAUUCUGACGUCACCAGACAAAGCCAUUUUAAAACACUUUUGAAAACCUGUAUUUCUUUGAAAAGAUAAUAAAAUCAAAGGAUUUAAAACUUGAAGACCUUAAUAAAAGAUUUAAAAGAAAACACUUUAACCCCCUAAAAACAGGAUCGCAUCCAGGUCACAGUAUUGAAAUUAGAAUCAACCACUAUAAAUAAAUAAUGUCUUACAACCUCAGAUCAUCUUCGAUGAGAAGAAUCACUGCCAAUCUAUUUAAAUUAUGAUUACAACUCAAUCUCAACAAUUUUAUCUAGAACCAACCUUGACAAUCUCCCUGAACAUUUCCACUUGUCCUCUGUAUACUCUAUACUCUGACUUCUCGCCUAGCCUUAGCCAUACUCGCAAUCUCAAUCAUGCAGUUCAUCUUUAAGCUUUUCUGAAAUGGUUAAAAAGGAAUAGCAAGGGUGAGCAACAAUGCUCAGCAAGUGUAUAUAAGCAAUAAUAGUCCUGAAUAUCUUAUCAGGGUUCACAAGAUCAAGAUAUGUAAUUGAAAACUUCACAAUUCUUAUCAGCAAUUGAAAUCAGAAUUCAAACUUACAGAAGAAUUGUCGAAUUGGAUUCAUCACAUUUUUACUUAAAAACCAAAGGUUAGGCUGCUGAUCAGUCACGCACUAACCCCGAACAUGGCACACAGCCCUGUUCUCUAUACUGGAUCCAAGGCACACAUUGGCCUAUAAUUGACCACGAAUCUGGUCCACAUAUUUUAUAAAAACUAAUCCAAUUCUAACAAUUUAAAUCAAUAGACAAAUCAAUCAACAGAACAGAAUCAUAAUCAUUAUCCACAACAGAAAUAUUCCAAACCAACUUUUAAGAAUCAUCCUUUUAUAAAUCAAAAUUCAAGAAAUCCUUAACUAUUCAGUAUCCUCCAUCAUCGGCUAAGUUAACUAGCAUGACAAUGGUGGAUUGAAUAAUCAAGAAGAUCUCAAUUCAUUCUAAGUUCUAACUAUCACUGAGCAACACAUGCUUCAAUGACAAUCUGAACUUCGAAUUAAUUUGUAAAGCUGACAUUGUUAAAAUCUUGAGGGUUGGAAGGAAUGGAUCAGAAUACUUGUAAUAGAAAUUGAGAGUAAUUAGGUGUUUGGCUUUUCAAAAUUUGGAAGAAGAAAACAAGCAUGGGUUUCAUUCUCAGAAGUAAGGGUUUAUUUGAGAAGGGUUUCAGUAUAAACAAUAUCAUAAUCUUGACAGAAUAAUCAGAGCAUGCAAUAUAUAUAUGAGGAAGGAUUUAGGAAAACUUGCCUUAAAUCCGCUUCCACACACAUAGCUUAAUUUCAUCUUUCCAACUCACAAUCUAUGCAUAUCAUAACCUCCAGACCAUCUCUGGAUAUAUCCUAUUCGUAGUACAGCUUCGCUUUCUCGACUCGUUCCUUAUUCGCUUUG
rnacentral:lncRNA from 1 species